AGGCGUACAACAGGGGCCCCGACCAUGGAGCAGGAACGCAUCCGAUAUCGCCCCGUCGCCCUCUCCCGCCCUGGAGCAGAAUCGGGGACACUGGCGAUUCUGGGUGGUGGCGAACAAGUCUACCUCGGGAGUACCACAUUGUAGGAAGAUCCACCUGGCCACCUCCCUGUGCAGGGACCACUCGUGCUGUUGGGAGAAAACCCUGCUCAGGCGAUCUGCGAGCGUGUUGAUCUUGCUGGGCAGUAGGCCUAGAGCUGCGCAGGUGUGCAGCAGGAAAUUCAUCUGCUGCUGCACCAGAGCCCGAGAUCAGCCCUUGAGGAGCCAGUCGUCGAGGUCCUGCAUUAUAGACUGGGACUCCACGGAGAGCCCCGAGAGCGAGAGCCACGACACCCUUCGCCUGGAGACUGCUGAAGCCAUCCAACGAGCGGCUGUGUCCGCUGCAUCCGAAGCCACCUGGAGAGCUGCUUUGGCCGCAGCCGCACCCUCGUCAACCAAAGCCCGGAACUCCUUCUUGUCCUUGUCUUGAAAGAGGGGUUCGAACUUGGGGAGGGAACCCCAAAGAUUAAAAUCAUAAUGGCUCAGCAGUGCCUGGUGAUUGGCCACUCUGAGCUGGA